GAUGAACGCUAGCUACAGGCUUAACACAUGCAAGUCGAGGGGAAACGACAUUGAAGCUUGCUUCGAUGGUCGUCGACCGGCGCACGGGUGAGUAACGCGUAUCCAACCUGCCUCUGACCAAGGGAUAACCCGUCGAAAGUCGGCCUAAUACCUUAUGCAGUCGUCGGAAGUCAUCUGAUGACGACGAAAGAUUUCAUCGGUGAGAGAUGGGGAUGCGUCUGAUUAGCUUGUUGGCGGGGUAACGGCCCACCAAGGCAACGAUCAGUAGGGGUUCUGAGAGGAAGGUCCCCCACAUUGGAACUGAGACACAGUCCAAACUCCUACGGGAGGCAGCAGUGAGGAAUAUUGGUCAAUGGGCGAGAGCCUGAACCAGCCAAGUAGCGUGCAGGAGGACGGCCCUAGGGGUUGUAAACUGCUUUUAUGCGGGGAUAAAGUGAGGGACGUGUCCUUCAUUGCAGGUACCGCAUGAAUAAGGACCGGCUAAUUCCGUG
rnacentral:rRNA from 1 species